GAUGAACGCUGGCGGCGUGCCUAAUACAUGCAAGUCGAGCGAACGGACGAGAAGCUUGCUUUUCUGAUGUUAGCGGCGGACGGGAGAGUAACAUGUGGAUAACCUACCUAUAAGACUGGGAUCACUUCGGGAAACCGGAGCUAAUCCCGUAUAAUAUUUUGAACCGCAGGGUUCAAUAGUGAAAUACGGUCUUGGUGGCGCUUGUAGAUGGAUCCGCGCUGCAUUAGCUGGUUGGUAAGUUAGCGGCUUACCAAGGCAACGAUGGGUAGCCGACCUGAGAGGGUGAUCGGCCACAUUGGGACUGGGAUACGGACCAGAGUACUACGGGAGGCAGCAGGGGGGAAAAUUGAACAAGGGGAGGAAGCCGGAUGAAGCAACGCCGAGUGCGGGAGGACGGCUUGCGGGUUGUAAAACGCUUUCGCAUGUGACGAAGCGUGAGUGACGGUAAUGGGUAAAGAAGAACCGGCUAACUAAGUG
rnacentral:rRNA from 1 species